rnacentral:rRNA from 1 species
UACGGAGGGCGCUAGCGUUAUUCGGAAUUACUGGGCGUAAAGCGCACGUAGGCGGCUUUGUAAGUUAGAGGUGAAAGCCUGGAGCUCAACUCCAGAAUUGCCUUUAAGACUGCAUCGCUUGAAUCCAGGAGAGGUGAGAGGAAUUCCGAGUGUAGAGGUGAAAUUCGUAGAUAUUCGGAAGAACACCGGUGGCGAAGGCGGCUCACUGGACUGGUAUUGACGCUGAGGUGCGAAAGCGUGGGGAGCGAUCCGG